rnacentral:rRNA from 1 species
AUUGAGCGCUGGCGGCAUGCCUUACACAUGCAAGUCGAACGGUAACAGGUCUUCGGAUGCUGACGAGUGGCGAACGGGUGAGUAAUAAAUCUGAACGUGCCCAGGAGGGGGGGAUGACUACUCGAAAGAGUGGCUAAUACCGCCUGAUAUCUCAGGAUGAAAGUAGGGGAUCGCAAGACCGUUUGCAUAUAGAGCGGCCCAUGGCAGCUUAGGUAGUUGGUGGGAUAAAAGCUUACCAAGCGUACGAUCUGUAGCUGGUCUGUGAGGACGAUCAGACACACUGGGACUGAGACACGGCCCAGACUCCUACGGAAGGCAGCAGUGGGGAAUUUUGGACAAUGGGCGCAAGCCUGAUCCAGCAAUGCCGCGUGCAGGAUGAAGGCCUUCGGGUUGUAAACUGCUUUUGUACGGAACGAAAAGCCCCGGGUUAAUACCCUGGGGUCAUGACGGUACCGUAAGAAUAAGCACCGGCUAACUACGUGCCAGCCGCCGCAGUAA